rnacentral:lncRNA from 1 species
UGUAGAUACUCUUUCCUAAUAGAUUAAGACUGUUAGGUCGUUAAUACUAAUCAGACUUAAGAAAUUGAAUGGGUCUAUAAAUACCGAUGCUAUCUCAAUCUUUAAAGACCAAAAUGUUGUCAAGUGUGUAAAUCGCAUUACAUAAACUACUGUUUAAAGGAAUUAGGUAUUGAUAAUUCACGUGGAAACCUAACAUAUACCCCUACGACACUUACUAAAGAGGAAAUCCUGGAUAAUUAAUCAUAGGUCUGUACUACGUUCCUUUGGAAUUUCAACCAAAGAUGAAGAAGUGGAUCUUUCAACACUGUAUCGGAUAUAUAAACUACAUAAAUGUCUUUACAAACACCGGUAUAUUGCUGGAUCUUUCAAGUACUCCACGAUAACUCUUUCUAAAUUAUCAACAUCAAUUUCAUUAGCAACCAAAGCCGG